rnacentral:rRNA from 1 species
AUUGACUAAGGUUUCCAGAGGAAGGCUCGUCCGCUCUGGGUUAGUCGGGUCCUAAGCUGAGGCCGACAGGCGUAGGCGAUGGAUAACAGGUUGAUAUUCCUGUACCACCUAUAAUCGUUUUAAUCGAUGGGGGGACGCAGUAGGAUAGGCGAAGCGUGCGAUUGGAUUGCACGUCUAAGCAGUAAGGCUGAGUAUUAGGCAAAUCCGGUACUCGUUAAGGCUGAGCUGUGAUGGGGAGAAGACAUUGUGUCUUCGAGUCGUUGAUUUCACACUGCCGAGAAAAGCCUCUAGAUAGAAAAUAGGUGCCCGUACCGCAAACCGACACAGGUAGUCAAGAUGAGAAUUCUAAGGUGAGCGAGCGAACUCUCGUUAAGGAACUCGGCAAAAUGACCCCGUAACUUCGGGAGAAGGGGUGCUCUUUAGGGUUAACGCCCAGAAGAGCCGCAGUGAAUAGGCCCAAGCGACUGUUUAUCAAAAACACAGGUCUCUGCUAAACCGUAAGGUGAUGUAUAGGGGCUGACGCCUGCCCGGUGCUGGAAGGUUAAGAGGAGUGGUUAGCUUCUGCGAAGCUACGAAUCGAAGCCCCAGUAAACGGCGGCCGUAACUAUAACGGUCCUAAGGUAGCGAAAUUCCUUGUCGGGUAAGUUCCGACCCGCACGAAAGGCGUAACGAUUUGGGCACUGUCUCAACGAGAGACUCGGUGAAAUCAUAGUACCUGUGAAGAUGCAGGUUACCCGCGACAGGACGGAAAGACCCCGUGGAGCUUUACUGUAGCCUGAUAUUGAAAUUCGGCACAGCUUGUACAGGAUAGGUAGGAGCCUUUGAAACGUGAGCGCUAGCUUACGUGGAGGCGCUGGUGGGA